rnacentral:misc_RNA from 1 species
AAGUCGUAACAAGGUCUCCGUUGGUGAACCAGCGGAGGGAUCAUUAUCGAGUGUUACAACUCCCAAACCCUUUGUGAACCUUACCUACUGUUGCUUCGGCGGGACUGCCCCGGCGCCUCUGCGCGUCGGAACCAGGCGCCCGCCGGGGGACCGAAACUCUUGAUUGUCUUAGUGGUAUUCUCUCUGAGUGGCACAAGCAAAAUAAAAUUAAAACUUUCAACAACGGAUCUCUUGGUUCUG